rnacentral:lncRNA from 1 species
CGAACGUAACAUUUCUUGGUUCGUUAGCAAAGUCUCAGUGGUUAUCAUUAAAAUCUUGCCACUGCUUGCCAUCGACUGGAUGCCUAAGCCUCCCAUCAAUUUUGUGCUCAUCAAAAGCAUACCAGUUCAUAUGUUUGGCAUGCUCUAGGUUAGCGAAUAAACACCUCAAUUGAUCGAGCACAAGAGGGUACCAUAUCACCAAAGGAGGAAUCUUUUUCUACGCAUAAUAGUCCAUUUUUUCUUUUUCUUUGCUAGUGAGUUUUGAACUCUAUUGGUUGUUCUUGUUGGGUCUUGUAUCGCUUCUUUCCUUUAGACAUGGAGGUAGCACAUUAUUCCUUUCAAUAGUCUUUAUUCGUCUUGUACCUACUUUUACCACACUAUUGGACAACUCUCUAAGUCCUUAUAAUCAUCACCGCGAUAUAGAAUACAGUGAUUUCUACACGUGUGGAUCUUCUCGACACCUAUAGUGAGCGGACUAAUUAACUUCUUUUUACAGUACGUGUUAGCUAGCACUUUAUUCUUCUUUUGAAGCAUGUCUCUGAUAAUACUCAAAAACGCAUCGAAGCCAACAUCAGACAUACCACAUUUAGCUUUUAACACCAAUAACUUUAGCAUAAACUACAGUGUCGUGAACUCUUCGGUACAAUCCUUAGACUCAUUAUAGAAAGGCUCUUCUGCAGCCUUCACUAGGGUCUCCAUACCUUUCAUUAAUGACAUUGAUAAAUCCGUAUGACGACAUAAUAUUGCCUCUAAGAAUUCUGCAUCUUCCAUAGCCAGAUGGCUCAAUACGUUCGCUCUAGAAAGAGGUUGUUUUGUACACAAACAAAAUAGAUAUAGUUAGAAAUAAUAUAUUAAAAAUAUAUAAAUAAUACAAAAAUAAUAUAUAAAAAAUAUAGGAAAUAAAAAAACAUUUCUACAGGUAGUGGUUAA